GAUGAACGCUGGCGGCGUGCCUAAUACAUGCAAGUCGAGCGAAUGGAUUAAGAGCUUGCUCUUAUGAAGUUAGCGGCGGACGGGUGAGUAACACGUGGGUAACCUGCCCAUAAGACUGGGAUAACUCCGGGAAACCGGGGCUAAUACCGGAUAACAUUUUGAACCGCAUGGUUCGGAAUUGAAAGGCGGCUUCGGCUGUCACUUAUGGAUGGACCCGCGUCGCAUUAGCUAGUUGGUGAGGUAACGGCUCACCAAGGCAACGAUGCGUAGCCGACCUGAGAGGGUGAUCGGCCACACUGGGACUGCGACACGGCCCAGACUCCUACGGGAGGCAGCAGUAGGGAAUCUUCCGCAAUGGACGAAAGUCUGACGGAGCAACGCCGCGUGAGUGAUGAAGGCUUUCGGGUCGUAAAACUCUGUUGUUAGGGAAGAACAAGUGCUAGUUGAAUAAGCUGGCACCUUGACGGUACCUAACCAGAAAGCCACGGCUAACUACGUGCCAGCCGCCGCCGUAA
rnacentral:rRNA from 1 species